AUGCUCUGAGGAGGAUGGAGACCAGGGGACACAUGGUCAAAUACUCAGCCAUAUAGAACAGGUUUAUGUACUGCUGUGGCUAAUACUGUCUCCAGGUUUAUACUCAGCCAUAUAGAACAGGUUUAUGUACUGCUGUAGCUAAUACUGUCUCCAGGUUUAUACUCAGCCAUAUGCAUUAUAACAGGUUUAUGUACUGCUGUAGCUAAUACUGUCUCCAGGUUUAUACUCAGCCAUAUGCAUUAUAACAGAUUUAUGUACUGCUGUAGCUAAUACUGUCUCCAGGUUUAUACUCAGCCAUAUGCAUUAUAACAGGUUUAUGUACUACUGUAGCUAAUACUGUCUCCAGGUUUAUACUCAGCCAUAUGCAUUAUAACAGAUUUAUGUACUGCUGUAGCUAAUACUGUCUCCAGGUUUAUACUCAGCCAUAUGCAUUAUAACAGGUUUAUGUACUACUGUAGCUAAUACUGUCUCCAGGUUUAUACUCAGCCAUAUGCAUUAUAACAGAUUUAUGUACUGCUGUAGCUAAUACUGUCUCCAGGUUUAUACUCAGCCAUAUAGAACAGGUUUAUGUACUGCUGUAGCUAAUACUGUCUCCAGGUUUAUACUCAGCCAUAUAGAACAGGUUUAUGUACUGCUGUAGCUAAUACUGUCUCCAGGUUUAUACUCAGCCAUAUGCAUUAUAACAGGUUUAUGUACUGCUGUAGCUAAUACUGUCUCCAGGUUUAUACUCAGCCAUAUAGAACAGGUUUAUGUACUGCUGUAGCUAAUACUGUCUCCAGGUUUAUACUCAGCCAUAUAGAACAGGUUUACGUACUGCUGUGGCUAAUACUGUCUCCAGGUUUAUACUCAGCCAUAUGCAUUAUAACAGGUUUAUGUACUGCUGUGGCUAAUACUGUCUCCAGGUUUAUACUCAGCCAUAUGCAUUAUAACAGGUUUAUGUACUGCUGUAGCUAAUACUGUCUCCAGGUUUAUACUCAGCCAUAUGCAUUAUAACAGGUUUAUGUACUGCUGUGGCUAAUACUGUCUCCAGGUUUAUACUCAGCCAUAUGCAUUAUAACAGGUUUAUGUACUGCUGUAGCUAAUACUGUCUCCAGGUUUAUACUCAGCCAUAUGCAUUAUAACAGGUUUAUGUACUGCUGUAGCUAAUACUGUCUCCAGGUUUAUACUCAGCCAUAUGCAUUAUAACAGGUUUAUGUACUGCUGUGGCUAAUACUGUCUCCAGGUUUAUACUCAGCCAUAUAGAACAGGUUUAUGUACUGCUGUGGCUAAUACUGUCUCCAGGUUUAUACUCAGCCAUAUAGAACAGGUUUAUGUACUGCUGUAGCUAAUACUGUCUCCAGGUUUAUACUCAGCCAUAUAGAACAGGUUUAUGUACUGCUGUAGCUAAUACUGUCUCCAGGUUUAUACUCAGCCAUAUGCAUUAUAACAGGUUUAUGUACUGCUGUAGCUAAUACUGUCUCCAGGUUUAUACUCAGCCAUAUAGAACAGGUUUAUGUACUGCUGUAGCUAAUACUGUCUCCAGGUUUAUACUCAGCCAUAUGCAUUAUAACAGGUUUAUGUACUGCUGUAGCUAACACUGUCUCCAGGUUUAUACUCAGCCAUAUAGAACAGGUUUAUGUACUGCUGUAGCUAAUACUGUCUCCAGGUUUAUACUCAGCCAUAUAGAACAGGUUUAUGUACUGCUGUAGCUAACACUGUCUCCAGGUUUAUACUCAGCCAUAUAGAACAGGUUUAUGUACUGCUGUAGCUAAUACUGUCUCCAGGUUUAUACUCAGCCAUAUGCAUUAUAACAGGUUUAUGUACUGCUGUAGCUAAUACUGUCUCCAGGUUUAUACUCAGCCAUAUAGAACAGGUUUAUGUACUGCUGUAGCUAAUACUGUCUCCAGGUUUAUACUCAGCCAUAUGCAUUAUAACAGGUUUAUGUACUGCUGUAGCUAACACUGUCUCCAGGUUUAUACUCAGCCAUAUGCAUUAUAACAGGUUUAUGUACUGCUGUAGCUAAUACUGUCUCCAGGUUUAUACUCAGCCAUAUAGAACAGGUUUAUGUACUGCUGUAGCUAAUACUGUCUCCAGGUUUAUACUCAGCCAUAUGCAUUAUAACAGGUUUAUGUACUGCUGUAGCUAAUACUGUCUCCAGGUUUAUACUCAGCCAUAUGCAUUAUAACAGGUUUAUGUACUGCUGUGGCUAAUACUGUCUCCAGGUUUAUACUCAGCCAUAUGCAUUAUAACAGGUUUAUGUACUGCUGUAGCUAAUACUGUCUCCAGGUUUAUACUCAGCCAUAUGCAUUAUAACAGGUUUAUGUACUGCUGUAGCUAAUACUGUCUCCAGGUUUAUACUCAGCCAUAUGCAUUAUAACAGGUUUAUGUACUGCUGUGGCUAAUACUGUCUCCAGGUUUAUACUCAGCCAUAUGCAUUAUAACAGGUUUAUGUACUGCUGUAGCUAAUACUGUCUCCAGGUUUAUACUCAGCCAUAUAGAACAGGUUUAUGUACUGCUGUAGCUAAUACUGUCUCCAGGUUUAUACUCAGCCAUAUAGAACAGGUUUAUGUACUGCUGUAGCUAAUACUGUCUCCAGGUUUAUACUCAGCCAUAUAGAACAGGUUUACGUACUGCUGUGGCUAAUACUGUCUCCAGGUUUAUACUCAGCCAUAUAGAACAGGUUUAUGUACUGCUGUAGCUAAUACUGUCUCCAGGUUUAUACUCAGCCAUAUAGAACAGGUUUAUGUACUGCUGUAGCUAACACUGUCUCCAGGUUUAUACUCAGCCAUAUAGAACAGGUUUAUGUACUGCUGUAGCUAAUACUGUCUCCAGGUUUAUACUCAGCCAUAUAGAACAGGUUUAUGUACUGCUGUAGCUAAUACUGUCUCCAGGUUUAUACUCAGCCAUAUAGAACAGGUUUAUGUACUGCUGUAGCUAAUACUGUCUCCAGGUUUAUACUCAGCCAUAUGCAUUAUAACAGGUUUAUGUACUGCUGUAGCUAAUACUGUCUCCAGGUUUAUACUCAGCCAUAUAGAACAGGUUUAUGUACUUCUGUAGCUAAUGCUGUCUACUGUCUCCCUGCUAUCAUAUCUAAAUUAGCUGAGAAGGGGAACUACUACUCAUGAGUAGCUGUGCUGGUAAAGCCUUUUUUUCUUAAUAGCAAAUCAUUUCUGUGUAACAAUUAAGUACCUUAGUGUAAUUAUUUUAAAUUAAAAUGGUAAAAAAAGUAACAAAGAGCAAUUUCUCAUCCAAUAAUUUUGAUAAGACUGUCUGGGAAAACUGAAAACUAGCUGUUAUUGGUAGAGAGGUUUGGAACUCAUUCUUAUUGGUCUAACUAAUUUACCACCUGGUGAUGUCACCAGGCAGGCCAAAACUCCAUCCCACCAAAACAGGCUGAAAUAUCAGGCGGUCUUUUCAAACAGCUCUUAUACUAAAAGGGCAUUAUCAUAAUUUUCACAAUUAUCAUUGUGGAAAAAUAUAUAAAACACAAGACAAAUCAGGUUUUUGACUGAACUGGGCCUUUAAGACAAAAUAAAUUAAGACAUUUGCACACUAUAUGUGCUUCCAACAAUUGUAUGGGUAAACUUCAUCAGCAAUGUAACAGCAAAGAAGUUAAAAAAACUUUAAAAAAACUGAAGGCGUGUUGGAAGCCUUGAUGAAGUUCACCCAUUCAAUUGUUGGGAGGACAUUAAGUAUAGUGUGGGACUUCAUUUUCAUACAGUUUAUUCACCUUUACUCUUCAAACAUUUCUGGGUGUGUGUCUGCUCAUGCUUUUUAUUAGGUCACUUCCCUGCAGACACGACCUUUAACCUGAAUCUGGAAUUCAAAUAUAGUACUGCGUAGGUAUUUUUGCUAAUACACAGGCUCUCUGAUUAAGUUGGAGAUCCCUUUGUUUAAUAUAACAUAGUGGUAGUAAGUUUACGUGUUUUCUGGACAUUCAGAAUUAGUGAUUUUAAAAUCACAACUCACUUAAACCUACAUUCUAGACUGGAUCAUCCUACAAGGGUUAGGGCUAUUG